rnacentral:SRP_RNA from 1 species
GGAAGGUCGGCGAUGGACACGCAAAAUUGCCAACCGAGUCAGGUCCGAGAGGAAGCAGCUCCAACAAUGGCGGGUGGGUCAUUGUCCGACUUUCCGCU